GAUGAACGCUGGCGGCGUGCCUAAUACAUGCAAGUCGAACGCACUAUUUCGGUAGUGAGUGGCGAACGGGUGAGUAACACGUAGGUAACCUGCCCUUAAGACGAGGAUAACCGUUGGAAACGAUGGCUAAGACUGGAUAGGAACAUUUGAGGCAUCUUAAAUGUUUUAAAAGACCUAGCAAUAGGUAUGCUUAAGGAGGGGCCUGCGGCGCAUUAGUUAGUUGGUGAGGUAGCGGCUCACCAAGACGAUGAUGCGUAGCCGGACUGAGAGGUUGAACGGCCACAUUGGGACUGAGAGACGGCCCAAACUCCUACGGGAGGCAGCAGUAGGG
rnacentral:rRNA from 1 species